rnacentral:rRNA from 1 species
GUGGGGAAUAUUGCACAAUGGGGGAAACCCUGAUGCAGCGACGCCGCGUGAAGGAAGAAGUAUCUCGGUAUGUAAACUUCUAUCAGCAGGGAAGAGAUUGACGGUACCUGACUAAGAAGCCCCGGCUAACUACGUGCCAGCAGCCGCGGUAAUACGUAGGGGGCAAGCGUUAUCCGGAUUUACUGGGUGUAAAGGGAGCGUAGACGGAUGGACAAGUCUGAUGUGAAAGGCUGGGGCUCAACCCCGGGACUGCAUUGGAAACUGCCCGUCUUGAGUGCCGGAGAGGUAAGCGGAAUUCCUAGUGUAGCGGUGAAAUGCGUAGAUAUUAGGAGGAACACCAGUGGCGAAGGCGGCUUACUGGACGGUAACUGACGUUGAGGCUCGAAAGCGUGGGGAGCAAACAGGAUUAGAUACCCCUGUAGUCC